rnacentral:rRNA from 1 species
AUGACCAACAUGUACAAUAUGUUGUUCGCGCCCUUCAUAGGAAUAAACCGACAUGGCCAAUCUUUCAUGCUGGGUUGCGCGUUUGUGAGGCAGGAGUUGGCAUCGAGCUUUGAUUGGGUCUUUGGAGCAUUUCUAGAGGCUAUGGAUGGCAAACCUCCUGACAACUUCAUCACCGAUCAGGAUGGUGCAAUGAGGCAGUCAAUACAGAGCAUCUUUCCAACCACCAUGCACCGUUGUUGUCGAUGGCACAUCAUGAGAAAGGCUCAGGAAAAGGUUGGUUGGCUGUUGUGCCGGAAUCCAGGAUUCUCUGAUGAUUUCAACAAGUGUGUUGACUUCAGCUUCACUAUAGACGAGUUUGAGUAG